rnacentral:lncRNA from 10 species
UGGUGCGCCGUUUUUUAAGCCCGUCGGAAAAGCGCAGUAUUCAGGUGGGAGUGACCCGAUUUUCCAGGCGCCGUCCGUCACAGCUUUCUUUGACUCGGAAAGGGAACUCCCUGACCCCUUGGGCUUCCCGAGUGAGGCAAUGCCUCGCCCUGCUUCGGCUCGCGCACGGUGCGCGCACCCACUGACCUGCGCCCACUGUCUGGCACUCCCUAGUGAGAUGAACCCGGUACCUCAGAUGGAAAUGCAGAAAUCACCCGUCUUCUGCGUCGCUCACGCUGGGAGCUGUAGACCGGAGCUGUUCCUAUUCGGCCAUCUUGGCUCCUCCUCGAAAUGGCAACGCAUAUGGCUAAUAAAACAUAUUGAGGAUGAAUGAGAAAACAACCUGGUUCCUGGAAGGAGAGAAACAAGGUGGAGUCUUCUCACAGAAACAAGGAGAAGGUCAGAGAGACCUCCGGGAGCAUCUCAUCUUGGAGACACCACAAGCUCAAGAGGCUGCAUUAGCGUUUUUUAUUGGAGGCAUUUUCUUUUCCUCCAGAUUUUGUUUUUGACUGUUAAGGUCAUAGCUACAAACAAUUGAUCAAGCCUAAAAGGGCAUUUAUAAACCACCUGCAUCUACAUUUUUUUCUUACUGUGGAUGGAUUUAAAAAGCCGUUUCAAGAUGAAAUCUUAUGAGUCAUUAUCAUGUCUUCUGAGGGCUGAGAUAUAACUUUGAAGUAGAGCCCAAACAUGAAGAUCAUGAAGAUGGCUUCUUCUCCAAAUGAUGUUAUCUUAAAAACUUGAAAAAGACAAAAAAAAAAAAAAAAAAAAAGAAGAAGAAAAAGAAAAAAGAAAGAAAAAAAGAGAGAGCGAGCCAAGGGAACUUGAAUCAGACAAACCUGGUUCAAAGUGAUUAUUCAACAAAUACAAGACCUCCACCCUCUGCAAAACAUCUUCCCAGGAUUAUGGGAAGUGCCCAAGAUGUGGUCACGGGUGUACCACAGCCAGUUGGCUUCUGUGGUACUCUGCCGCUGCGCCUGCCUCCACUUCUGUGGUUCAUCCCCAACUCCCAUGGAAGUUGGAGCACUUUCACGGAACCCUGCGGUUCUUUCCAACAUGCAGCAGCCACCAGCCACAGUCACCUGCAACCACAAAUCAGCAAAGCCCCACAGCCCCGAAUCUCCACUGAGGUUUGUAAUGAAGUGGGACUUCAAGUUUAAGUCUUUCUCCGAGGCUAUUACGGCCUGCCAGUAGGGGCUCUCCAUGUGCACUGCUCAAACCAUUAUGCUCUAUAACUGUUUUCAGUGUAAGGCUCUUUACGCUUUGUUAGUAAUCUCUUGCUCUCCGGAGCCCAGAGAGUGACAGAUUCGUAACAGACCCCUGUUCACUCCUCGUUGCCUCUCCCCUGUGCUGAGAGGGCUUCUCAUUGGCUCAGGUGCAUCCCCUGUGCUGCUUCUCCCCUCAGGAUGCCCUCUUCAUCUAGAGGUUUCUCCAGGGAACCUGCCUGGCUCACUCACCUAACAAGCUAAGAAAUGUCUGAACCGUCUUUAAAUUCAAGCCAGGAGCCUAGAAGUAGUCCUAGGGAAAACGAAACAAAACAAAACAAAACAAAACAAAACCAACAAACAAACAAACACGACUGGAAAGAAAUACAUGGAGAAGUUAACAGGAGGGCUCCUUGGAGAGAUGGUUAAUUCUGGGGCUGGCCUGGGAAGGAUGAGAUGAGGCUGAAGCACCUUGCUGUGCCGGAACAUCAGGACGUGCUCAAAAAGUGAUGAGGCCAGGGCCUGAUGGAAGAGGCUCCCAGCAACCAAACCUGCCAAGGUUUGAGCACCAAAAAAACAGCAACAGUGAUUCUAUAACCCAUGAGAAUAAAAGAAUCAGUCCAUGAUGACAUAGAUGGCCUGGGAAGCCCUCUGCACGCCUUUCUCAACUAAGGAAUUUGUGGAAGUAGAAUUUCUUCUGUUGACAGAAUUCUGCUGAGAACUGAAUUUUCUGCUGUUUUCAUUACUCUUUUCUAAAUGUUUCACAGUUCUGUUUUUUUUACAGCCAGAUUUCCAUUUGAUACUGGUUGUGGUUACACUAAAAGUAACAUCUAUGGCCAAAUGGCUGGAAAUUUUACAUUUUUGACACCGAGAUUUUUCCUGUACUUCACGGAGGGCAAGGGUUAUACCCUAUUUUUUCCCAGUCUCCCACAGUGCCCAACCCAGACGACCGUACAUAAUAAGCGCUUUAUUCUCAGCACUGCUGUAUGCCUCAUUGGAACAGGAUGCCCAAGGUGAUGGCUGCAGAAAUGGAUGGAUUGGAGCGUGACUUGCCAAGACAGGUAUGUAGAAAUUAUUGUGGAGUGACGUGGCAUGAUCUCAGCUUACUGCAGCCUCAACCUCCCGGGCACAGGUGAUUCUCCAACCUCAGCCUUGGAGUAGCUGGGACUAUAGGAAAAACAUAAAUAUUCAGAGAGGAGUGGUUCUUUUCCUGCCCCUUGAUGAACAUUCCAGCAGGCUGAAGAUUUUUCUCCUCAUUCUCAG